rnacentral:rRNA from 1 species
UGGCAGCAGUGAGGAAUUUUGCGCAAUGGGGGAAACCCUGACGCAGCAACGCCGCGUGAGUGAUGAAGGCCUUCGGGUCGUAAAGCUCUGUCAAGUGGGAAGAACCUGAUUAUUGUUAAUAUCAGUAAUCACUGACGGUACCACUGAAGGAAGCACCGGCUAACUCCGUGCCAGCAGCCGCGGUAAUACGGGGGGUGCAAGCGUUAUUCGGAAUUAUUGGGCGUAAAGAGCGCGUAGGCGGCCAGUUAAGUCAGAUGUGAAAUCCCGGGGCUCAACCCCGGAAGUGCAUUUGAAACUAAUUGGCUUGAGUAUGGGAGAGGGAAGUGGAAUUCCUGGUGUAGAGGUGAAAUUCGUAGAUAUCAGGAGGAACACCGGUGGCGAAGGCGACUUCCUGGACCAAUACUGACGCUGAGGCGCGAAGGCGUGGGGAGCAAACAGGAUUAGAUACCCUGGUAGUC